GACGAACGCUGGCGGCGUGCCUAGUACAUGCAAGUAGAACGCUGAAGAGAGGAGCUUGCUCUUCUUGGAUGAGUUGCGAACGGGUGAGUAACGCGUAGGUAACCUGCCUUGUAGCGGGGGAUAACUAUUGGAAACGAUAGCUAAUACCGCAUAACAAUGGAUGACACAUGUCAUUUAUUUGAAAGGGGCAAUUGCUCCACUACAAGAUGGACCUGCGUUGUAUUAGCUAGUAGGUGAGGUAAUGGCUCACCUAGGCGACGAUACAUAGCCGACCUGAGAGGGUGAUCGGCCACACUGGGACUGAGACACGGCCCAGACGCCUACGGGAGGCAGCAGUAGGGAAUCUUCGGCAACGGGGGCAACCCUGACCGAGCAACGCCGCGUGAGUGAAGAAGGGUUUCGGAUCGUAAAGCUCUGUUGUAAGUCAAGAACGGGUGUGAGAGUGGAAAGUUCACACUGUGACGGUAGCUUACCAGAAAGGGACGGCUAACUACGUG
rnacentral:rRNA from 1 species